rnacentral:lncRNA from 1 species
UUCUUUUGCAUUGAGAUCUACUGGUUUGUAUGGAAUGACAGAAAUGAAUGAAAUUUUCCGUAAUCGAACGUCUUUGCACUAGUAAGAUUUGUUAUGUGAGGGAUGCGUAUUCUCACGAUGUUGUUUCGGUCGACAAUGCAAACGGGCAUUGGCUUGAUCUCAAGCAAAAACGUACACAGUUAAUCAAUAGUGACAAUGUGAUCCGAAUAAAAGUCUCUAACGACACAGUGUAACAUAAAGAUGACAAACAUGGUGUCAUAUUAUAAAAACAAGAUUACAAAACGAGAAACAGAACACAGAAACAGGAACUAAAGCAUAACAGAGUGUCUUCUUCCUUCUUCCUUCAUUAUUCAUCCACCAACAGAGAAAUAUACCAAACCCUCACUCCAGCAUUCCAAGCUUAGUUUUACAUCAUUGAUCAUCGGCCAUUUCUCUGCAUCUCAGCCUUCUUCGACUUCCUCCAAACCAUACUGACGCAACAUAACACGACCACCACCAGCAGAAUCAAGACAAUGAGAACCACCGAAGCCCCCACCGCCACUUUCAACAACACUGAUAUGGGAUGCGAAUCCACGGCAGCUUCUGUCAUUAGUACUGAUGAUGACAGUGAGAUCAGGUGAAUGAUGAAGGUGAUGAAGAGAUGAUGAUGAUAAAAAAUCAUUUCUCUUACUUCUAUCAGACUCAAUAAAUUAGACCCACUAGUACUCAGCAGCGAGUCUGUUAAAGAAGGAAUCAAAAUUUCCAUUUACAGAAUUUUACUUGGCCUUUUGUCUGAUGAGGACGUACCUCAUCUGUUUUAAAGCUUGGGUUUAGCUACAGGGGAAUAUUAAUUAGUUCAUGUUUCACUUUCACUGUCAGGAUGUGAGCUACAUGUCACAUGCCAUCCAUGAUCCAUGCAUGCAUACUCUAUUUUCCGAAAUGCUUUCACCUUUGUUUGCCAUUCGGUGUAUACUCUUUUUUAACAUCGAAGAAUUUCUCCAGUUUCGGUAAAUCACUAUUGGGACUUGAGUUUCAAGUUUCAACCAAUGAAAUUAGAAGAAGACUUAAAUCCCAAUAACACUAAAUGAAUAAAUGUGAACUGUCACCAUGCAAACAGUGGUUUGGACUUCCCCAGAAACUCCAUUAAAACCGAUAGGGAUUCACUGUCCAGCUAUAUAGUUUCUGUUUCUGAUCUUUCCAUUUAUCUCACAUUGUUUCCCGAGCAAUGACCAAGAACAGGGAGAAGAGCAAUAGCAGCAGGCAGCUAUGGAUGACAGACAGGGGAGGAGUUGAUAGAAUAACCAAUCUCCCAGACUCCAUUAUUUACCACAUGCUCCUGGAAGCAUAUUCCUUCCCUCAAUCUAGAGCUGAAAUUGGAUCGAUAAUCCAGGUACAAAAAGUUGGUAGAAAAAGUCUUGUCCCUUCGCUACCCACUUCAUGUUAGCAAGGUUUCAUGGGCCGCAUAUACAUGUUUUGCCCAUUCUGAUGGUUCUGGGGUUGCUCUGCUAAAAGAUGUCGUCCAAUAUGCAGUCUCUCAUGGUGCUCAACAUUUCAACCUACGACCCAUAAAUCAUAAUCAUUCCAGUAUCGCUCUUCUCGUGGUGUUUGAUUCAAUCUCCGACACUGUAAGAACCCUACAAUUAGUAUGGUUUGACCUCGAUUGUCGGCUUGUAUGUUCUGGAUUCCAGUUGCUAACAACGUUGGAACUCUAUUUUUGUCGAUUCUUAACCGUUGAAGAGCUUGUUGAGCCUUUUUCUCAAUUCCCCUGCCUCAAAGGUUUGGUCGAUUAGUAGUACAGAUGUUGAUGGGCAAGCUUUGAGAUUGAGGGUUUCUGGACUCGAGCUGGACAGGUUGAGCCUCUUAGGUAUUAGAGUGUGGAAGCUAGAAAUAAUUCCCCCAAAUGGAACACGACGUGUUCCUCCGCUGAAAUUGCCCGAGAAAGUUACAGGGGCCGAACACGGCCGUGUUCAUGGAACACGGCGUGUUCCAUAUGGAGCACGCCGUGUCCCACCCCCAGACGGGUUUUCAAGUCCUUUUCCUUCUCCAACAUGGUCCAGAAGCCUAUAAAUACCCUAGAGACCCCCAAGGACGAGAUAUACUUCAUUAUACACAUAUUUUCGAGCUCUUGGAGAGAGCUAGAGAUCCUUAGAGGCGCGAGAGUGAUCUAAGACUACAUUAGGAAAUUGCCGAGCCGUUAUAACCUGAAUAAUCGAGAUCAUUUAUCAUUCAUUCAUACAUUGCUAGUUUUAGUGGAUUUGAAUCCCCCUAGGGAGAAUUACGAUCCCACUAGAGCAAUCUAGUGGGAAUUUGAAAGCGGGGUAAAAUCCAUGCAUCAACGAUCGCUGUUGCCAAAGUUCGACUACGUGGUGGUGGCUAUUGAAUAACCUAAAGAUGCCUAAAAAUGACUAUUGAAGAACUUAUUGGCUCAUUGCAGGCACGAGAAGAAAGGCUAGAGAAAAGGAAAAAGGAACCAGCGAGCAAGUCAUGUGGACACAUACAGUAAUCUAGGCGAAAGAAAAUACACGAGGAGGAAGCUACUACAAAGGCCAAGUAAGAGGUCAAGGUUGAAACCAGUAGAGGCAGAGAAAGAGGUCGAAGAGCAUACAACAGAA